rnacentral:rRNA from 1 species
AAUAACAAUACGGGGCUUAAUGUCUUGUAAUUGGAAUGAUGGGAAUUUAAACCUCUUCCAGAGUAUCAAUUGGAGGGCAAGUCUGGUGCCAGCAGCCGCGGUAAUUCCAGCUCCAAUAGCGUAUAUUAAAAUUGUUGCAGUUAAAAAGCUCGUAGUUGAAUUUCUGCUGCAUUGCUUUUGCUCCUUUACGAGUCUUUGCAUUGUGGCUUAUUUCGGACUUUGUUUUACAAUGUCCGGAUGUUUACUUUGAGAAAAUUAGAGUGCUCAAAGCAGGCUUUCGCCUUGAAUAGUUUAGCAUGGAAUAAUAAAGUAGGACUUUGGUUCUAUUUUGUUGGUUUUAGGUACCAAAGUAAUGGUUAAUAGGAACAGUUGGGGGCAUUCGUAUUUAA